rnacentral:rRNA from 1 species
AUGAUGCUGCCCGGGCAUGCCUUGUGCCGCGCUGAACAAGGACUGUUUGAAGAUGCUCCAAGGAAACUUUUAUUUAAUUUCUUGGUCGUUAUAUUGGCUCUGGAAUUUAUCAAUAAGGCUGAUUUGAUUGCCAAAACAUCGGCUCUAAAGGCUGACACUCACACUCCUAUUAUGUCUGCUUCACAAGAAUGGAGUUCAGUUCGGCCCAUGGUAUCCCAAACCAAAGUUGUCACAAGUAUUGCAAUGAGUCAGCAUAGACAAAAGAAGCCAUAUUCAUCACCAUCAGCUCUAUCAUCUGUGCACUCUCCUAUCUCUGCGCCGAGCUAUAGCUCCAUCUCGGGUGCUUCUGAACGCUCUUUUGAUUCACUGGACCUGUUCGAUCCUUCGAUGCAGCACAACAGGCGCUCAGCAGAAGAGGUUCCUGCUCAUGUGGAUGCUGACCUCCCUGAUGCAGCUUCGAAUACUAGUACAGCUCCUUCUGGAGUGGUGCAGCCCCCACUAUCUCCAUACGAUGGCUGUUGUGCUCCGAACAUGGUACAGAGACGAGGUAGCGAGAACUGCCAUUGUGUUUACCCGGUAAGAGUUGUGCUCUUUCUUCACAAUGUUUCCUUGAAUUCAAAUUGGAGCAACGAAUUUCUUGAGGAGCUUGCGUCACAUCUCAACUUGCGGGUUACUCAGUUUGAGAUUGUAAAUUUCUAUGUUGUUGGAACUUCUGGGCUAAAUAUGACAAUGGACAUAGCUCCCCACACUGGAAAUAGCUUCUCAUCCGAACAAGUUACUGCGAUGAAUUAUUCUCUUAGCCUGCAUACAAUUCGGAUCAAUCCAGUACUGAUUGGGGACUACAAUCUUCUUGAUCUAGUGUGGUUCAGGCCAUUGGCUCCAGCUCCUGAUGCAAUAGCAGGCAGCUCGAGCGUACUUAUGCUUCUUUUUGCAUUUUGGUUGGGCUACAGGAAGUACGGAUCCAAAAGGAAAUCAAAGGAGAGAGCAAAGAUUGAGUCCAUCCUACAAAAGAAUGGAACUGUCCAUUUGAAACGGUACACUUAUGCCCAAGUGAAAAGAAUAACGAGAUCUUUUGCUGAAAAGCUAGGUCAAGGUGGAUUUGGUGCUGUUUACAGAGGCGACCUCUUUGAUGGUCGUCAGAUAGCAGUCAAAAUACUCAAGGACUACAAGACUGAUGGGGAGGAUUUCAUCAAUGAGGUAGCUAGCAUUAGUAGAACUUCUCACGUUAACGUUCUUAAUCUCUUAGGAUUUUGCUUGGAAGGAUCUAAAAGGGCAUUAAUUUAUGACUAUAUGCCUAAUGGUUCACUUGAAAAGUAUGCCUUCAAGGAUGGCUCUAAAGGUGGAAAUACUUUAGGUUGGGAAAAAUUAUUUGAUAUAGCAGUGGGCAUUGCUCGAGGACUUGAAUAUCUCCACAGAGGAUGCAAUACCCGCAUGGUGCAUUUUGAUAUCAAGCCCCACAACAUUCUAUUGGAUCAAAAUUUCUGUCCAAAGAUUUCUGAUUUUGGACUAGCCAAGCAGUGCCUCAAUAAAGAAAGUGUUAUUUCCAUUGGUGGUGCAAGAGGAACAAUAGGCUAUAUAGCCCCCGAGGUUUAUUCGAAGCAAUUUGGAACAGUAAGUACUAAGUCUGAUGUUUACAGUUAUGGAAUGAUGGUUCUUGAGAUGGUUGGGGCAAGGGACAAGAAUAUCAGCCAAAAUAGUGAAUCUACCAGCCAAUAUUUCCCACAAUGGAUUUAUGAACAUUUAGAUGAAUAUUGUCUUAGUGCUUCCGAGAUAAAUGGAGGGACCUCAGAGAUUGUAAGGAAGAUGAUAGUGGUAGGGAGGUGCAUACAGUUGAGUCCUACAGAUCGUCCAACAAUGACUAGAGUUGUCGAGAUGCUUGAAGGGAGCACAACUAACAUCGAAUUGCCACCAACGGUGCUCUUGAGUUGA